rnacentral:lncRNA from 1 species
CCAUUCGGAUCCUUACUGUGUAUGUUGGCUUCAGUAGGUUUAGCUUCACUAUUUGGAGUAGGAGGCACCUAGAUAAAAUCUAUUGAUCGUAGUAAAAAAGGAGAAGUCCUAUGCGAUUUGCGAGACUGAGUUUAAAAAGUCUUUGGCCAAAGCAAGUGGAAUACUGGAAAAGAGUUUCCACAGGAUUCACAAAUGAACUCGAGUCAAGCCAAUCUUGCAUAUGAC